AGCCCUGUGGCUCAGUUGGUAGAGCAUGGUGUUUGCAACGCCAGCAUGGUGUGUGCAACGCCAGGGUUGUGGGUUUGAUUCCCAUGGGGGCCC
rnacentral:tRNA from 1 species